GGCCCAGUGGUCUAGGGGUAUGAUACUCGCUUAGGGUGCGAGUGGUCCCGGGUUCGAAAAUCCCGGCUGGGCCC